AUUGAACGCUAGCGGCAGGCCUAACACAUGCAAGUCGAGCGAGCGGCGGACGGGUGAGUAAUGUAUGGGGACUGCCCGAUAGAGGGGGAUAACUACUGGAAACGGUAGCUAAUACCGCAUACUAUCGGAUAACCCAUAUGGGAUUAGCUAGUAGGUGAGGUAAUGGCUCACCUAGGCGACGAACCCUAGCUGGUCUGAGAGGAUGAUCAGCCACGUGGGGACGGAAACCGGGCCCAGACUCCUACGGAGGCAGCAGUGGGGAAUAUUGCACAAUGGGCGCAAGCCUGAUGCAGCCAUGCCGCGUGUAUGAAGAAGGCCCUAGGGUUGUAAAGUACUUUCAGUGGGGAGGCGUUACCGACAGAAGAAGCACCGGCUAACUCCGUGCCAGCAGCCGCGGUAAUUC
rnacentral:rRNA from 1 species